AGUGCAAUUAUUGGAUCAUGUGGUGUCUAUUUUUAAUUGUUUGAGGAACCUCCAUAUUGUUUUACAUAAUGGCUAUACUAAUUUACAUUCCCACCAACACU
rnacentral:miRNA from 1 species